UUUGUUCCCUAAAUAGGGACUUGUAUGAAUGGCCACACGAGGGCUUUACUGUCUCUUACUUCCAAUCCGUGAAAUUGACCUUCCCGUGAAGAGGCGGGAAUACAACAAUAAGACGAGAAGACCCUAUGGAGCUUUAAUUAACCGACCCAAAGAGACCCAUUAAUUUCAACCGACAGGAACAACAAACCUCUAUAUGGGCCGACAAUUUAGGUUGGGGUGACCUCGGAGAACAGAACAACCUCCGAGUGAUUUAAAUCAAGACUAACCAGUCGAAAGUAUUACAUCACUUAUUGAUCCAAAAGUUUGAUCAACGGAACAAGUUACCCU
rnacentral:rRNA from 1 species